UCGGAUGUGGUGUACGGCGCACACCCGCUGUUCUUAUGUCUGCGCUGAAGUCUAAGUGAAGCGGGAAGUCUGGGUUCGAUUCCCGGUGUCCGAA